UCGCUAGGACCCAGGAGCAGCUGGGAGGCGGCUCUGGGGGGAGCGAUCGCUGGACUCAGGCCCGGCAGCAGGAAGUGACUCGCAGCCGCUGCGGUGACUCUGGCUCCAGGCUCCUGGCGAGAUCCCCGAGCCCCGGCGGCUGGUGCUGGGAGCCCGGAGCCCUGGCUGCAGCCGGGAGAGGGGAAUCUCCAGCAGGGCCCUUCCCGCUGCUCCCCAGGAGCCUAUCCCAGGGCAGAGCCCCCAGCCCGGCCCGGCCCCUGCCCCAGGGGGCCCCGUUCGGAGGGAAGGCUGAGGAAUCGCAUCCACCUUUUGGUUCAGAUGGGCCCGUCUUCCAGGACACAGGGAAGGGAAAUGUCUGUGAUGGAGCCAGCUCAGAUGCCGGUGACCUUCGAGGAGGUGGCUGUGUAUUUCACCC